ACUAACUAGGAUUCCCUUAGUAGCGGCGAGCGAACAGGGAAAAGCCCAGCACCGAAUCCCGCGGCCGUAACUGGACGCCGGGAAAUGUGGUGUUUGGGAGGGUCCGCUAUCCCGAGAUCGCGCGGCGCGUCCAAGUCCUUCUUGAACGGGGCCACUUACCCAUAGAGGGUGCCAGGCCCGUAGUGACCGCCGUCGACCGCGGGAGGAUCUCUCCUCAGAGUCGGGUUGCUUGAGAGUGCAGCCCUAAGUGGGUGGUAAACUCCAUCUAAGGCUAAAUAUGACCACGAGACCGAUAGCGAACAAGUACCGUGAGGGAAAGUUGAAAAGAACUUUGAAGAGAGAGUUCAAUAGUACGUGAAACCGUUCAGGGGUAAACCUGAGAAACCCGAAAGAUCGAAUGGGAAGAUUCAGCGCGUUUCCGGGUCGGCGAGCUGCGGUGUUCGCGACGGACGUCGUUCGCGGCGCCCGCGCUAUCCGUGGCCGUGUCCGGCAAGGAACGCGUGCACUUCUUCCCUAGUAGGACGUCGCGACCCGUUGGGUGUCGGCCUGAGGCCCGCGGUGGAGCCCGCGCGGACGGUUCGCCGUUCCGCUCGGACCCGCGGUCGCCCGGCCGACUCGCCCGACGGUUUGACAUUGGCGCUGGGCCGCGACUCGUUCGCGUCCGGUCCGUCGCAAGUGCGGACGGUAACCUGGCAGUCGGACCUAGUGCCGGCUCCGGGCCCGCCCCGCUGCUGGCGGCGGAACCCUCGGACCGCGCCCUAACGCGCGCCGGUCGGCGACGCUAUAGCUUUGGGUACUUUCAGGACCCGUCUUGAAACACGGACCAAGGAGUCUAGCAUGUGCGCGAGUCAUUGGGAUUUGCUAAACCUAAAGGCGUAAUGAAAGUGAAGGCGCGCCUUGCGCGCGCCUAGGGAGGAUGGGUCGUCGUUACGGCGCGGCCCCGCACUCCCGGGGCGUCUCGUUCUCAUCGCGAGAUGAGGCGCACCCAGAGCGUACACGCUGGGACCCGAAAGAUGGUGAACUAUGCCUGGUCAGGACGAAGUCAGGGGAAACCCUGAUGGAGGUCCGUAGCGAUUCUGACGUGCAAAUCGAUCGUCGGAACUGGGUAUAGGGGCGAAAGACUAAUCGAACCAUCUAGUAGCUGGUUCCCUCCGAAGUUUCCCUCAGGAUAGCUGGCGCUCGCUUUGUGCGAGUCUCAUCCGGUAAAGCGAAUGAUUAGAGGCAUUGGGGUCGAAACGGCCUCAACCUAUUCUCAAACUUUAAAUGGGUGAGAUCUCCGGCUUGCUUGAACGCAUGAAGCCGCGAGAUCGGAUCAGAG
rnacentral:rRNA from 1 species